GCUGACGAGUGGCGCACGGGUGAGUAAACUAUAGUUAAUGUACCCCAAAGACUGGGAUAGCCACUGGAAACGGUGAUUAAUACUAGAUACACCUUCUUAUCAUAAGGUAAGAAGGGAAAUGUCUUUUCGCUUUGGGAUCAGACUAUAUCCUAUCAGCUAGUUGGUGAGGUAAUGGCUCACCAAGGCAAUGACGGGUAGCGGUUCUGAGAGGAUGAUCCGCCACACUGGUACUGAGACACGGACCAGACUCCUACGGGAGGCAGCAGUGAGGAAUAUUGCACAAUGGGCGAAAGCCUGAUGCAGCAACGCCGCGUGGAGGAUGACGCAUUUCGGUGUGUAAACUCCUUUUAUAUGUCAAGAGAAUGACGGUAGCAUAUGAAUAAGCACCGGCUAACUCCGUGCCAGCAGCCGCGGUAAUACGGAGGGUGCAAGCGUUACUCGGAAUCACUGGGCGUAAAGGACGCGUAGGCUGUUUAGCAAGUCAGAUGUGAAAUCCAAUGGCUCAACCAUUGAACUGCAUUUGAAACUGCUAGACUAGAGUAUGGGAGGGGGAGAUGGAAUUAG
rnacentral:rRNA from 1 species